CCAUCAUAAACGCUCUCUUGACAUUUUUCUAUAUGACUUUGUCUGGUGCGGUUUUUUCUCUCUAACCAUUAACAAGCAACAGAUCGCGUCAGUGACCGACUUCAUUAUUUCGACAAAAUCCCCAAAGCCAACAGAAAAAAAGUGUUUGAAAGCACAAAUAGGUAGAGUGGGUCCUUGUGUAUUUGGUUGCUUAGUGCCAUUGUUGCCUGCUGUCCGGUUCCUUCGACUGCUGCCCGUUUGUGUCGCGAAAAACUUCGGUGUCCUAAUCUGCUGCCUGACUUGCAUACUAAUUUGUUUGCUCUGUGGCGCCCACCCUCUAGUCCUCGUACACCUCUCCGGACACACUGGGCCAGGCAAUGUUGGCCCCGGCCUUUAUGGUAUUUUUGGGAUGCUGACAACCCGUAGAUUAUGUUGUUGGCUUUGGCUUUUGUGUGUUGUCCAAGUCUGAGUAGGUUUCGGGGCAUGACUGUGAGUGUGUCCCAGUCUCACGUUGCCUCGGAUCUGGUCUCUGGCGCUGGCUCUGAGUCCUGGUCAUGUUGAGGUUCUGGUACUGCUUUUGGAUCCCAACUCCAUUGGCCUUGUUUGUUUAUUUCUGUUGCCCGUCCAUAAAACCCUGUUUAGCUGCUUAAUUUUUUCCUUUGUCAUGUUGACAGUCGUUCGGCUCAAGGACUUGUUU
rnacentral:lncRNA from 1 species